rnacentral:lncRNA from 1 species
UGGGACUCGGGUAGACUCGGGUGGGGUGGGGCUCUUAAGGUUGCGCAGCGGGGACAAGGAAUGCAAAGUAAAGCAGCCCUCACACUUUGGUACUGGGUCCACAGAUUGGCCAAGGACGGCGCCAUUUUUGGGACAUGGGAGCAAAAGCGGGAAGGGAUCGGUGCACAACAAGCUGUAGGGGUGGUGAGGAGGAGGAGAGCAUCAAAACCAUUUUCAAGGCGUUGGGUUGGCUCGCUUUCUGACUGAAACAGCCCAUCUGGUUGUCUCUUUCUCAAGGGCUCAGCUGCUGUUCUUGUCACUUCCAUCCUGUCAAGGCCCCCCUUGCAAUGCGCUGUGACUGAUCACCCUUUGUAACCCAAAUCAAAGUUCUGGCUCAUCUGAUUGAGCGCUGACAACUUUAGGUACUAAUGCUACGGGUUUUAAGGACUGUAAUCCCUUGUGCAGAGUAGUCUCGAUGUAGUUAUUCGUAUUUAUUACCACGUCCACUGCAUGUGGCGCAAUCUGAAUUGUGACUCAGCGGGGGGGUUUCGGGAAUUUUGUGAGGUAAAUGCGGAUUGCUAGGCUAGUGCAUGAAAUCGAGAAGCUGCCCAAUUUUCGUGGUGGUUUGGGCUGUGGGUACCUUUCGUCUCUUACACGAGUGUUUUUCUUUGUAUUGAAGCCAUGCGGGCAUCCGUUUCCUGGUGGGAGAGUCGUUUCUCCUGAUCUGAGCUUCUCAAACCUGAUCCUGCAGAGCAUCCAGGUCGGCUUGUGCAUCUCUUGUCAGCGUUGGCUCUGAUCUUUGAGUUUUUUUGUGAAAGCAACGUGCGUUAAUUACAGUUGAUUAGGACUUUGUAGGGUGUUCAUAGAGGUUCUGAUGCUCGCUGGUUGCGGAGUAUAGGUGUCGUUUGAAAGUCCUUGAACACGACAAUGGUGACCUAAUCUGUGGAGACUGUGGUUUUGUACAUUUGCCUUGGGUUUUCGCUGCGUUCAGUAUUGCACAAUGUGUGGGUUUCGUUUGCUAGCUUUAGGGUUUGAUAAGA